rnacentral:lncRNA from 10 species
GACAAGACAGAGAACAAACAAUGAGCAACCAAGCAAAAAGGGUUUUCCUGAAACAAACUCUCACCAUCUGAGAAAACCUGCAUGCGCCUCUGCUCUCUGCACCCCAGAGGGAACCAGCAGUGUGCCCUGGGAAAAGCUGGGGCCCCACAGGUCCCAGUCUCUGAACAGGGUCUCGUAUAAAGAAGCACCGUCCAGUGACUGUUGCAGCGUGCACUGGCAUCUCGAAGACGGCAUCAACGAGGUCGCAGAAGAAAGCAACAACAUGGACCACUCGCCAGCGUCUCUUUGAACAGAGAAGCUACUGCUAUCUAAGGAGCCAACACUCUUUCCUUCAGCCAGAUCAAGGUCCUUGUCCCUCACAGCCAACACCACAACUGACACAAAAGGGAAGGACGGAAAACGAUUGUGGCGAAAGGCGUCUGGAUGGAGCCAGCAGCUUUACCUUGGCCACCAUCUCAUUUCCAAAGAGCAGAUGCACGCGGAGGGGUGUAGUGUGAAGGGAGGCCUGGCGGGAUUAGCUAAUGAAUCGGAUAGCAGUGUAGUGAAAGAGACCCUCAGGAAUGACUUCAGGUUUUUGGGCUAAAGAAUUGCAAGAAUGGAACCAUGAAUGGAGAUGUUGGUUUAGACCAGUCGCCCUCUGGACCAAGCUGCUGUGAGCAUG